rnacentral:rRNA from 1 species
UACAGAGGUCUCAAGCGUUGUUCGGAUUCAUUGGGCGUAAAGGGCGCGUAGGCGGCGAGGUAAGUCGGGUGUGAAAUCUCAGAGCUCAACUCUGAAACUGCACUCGAUACUGCUUUGCUAGAGGACUGGAGAGGAGAUUGGAAUUCACGGUGUAGCAGUGAAAUGCGUAGAGAUCGUGAGGAAGACCAGUGGCGAAGGCGGAUCUCUGGACGGCUAACUGACGCUGAGGCGCGAAGGCCAGGGGAGCAAACGGG